AAAAAAAAAAAAAAAAGACUUGGCGGAUUCCAAAACCCUAUUUUAAUCUCUUCCCUUUCAGUUCCGUCUUUUGCUUUUGCUCCAUUUUCCAACGACACUCUCUCUCUAUUAACUCUUUGUUUUUUUUCACUGAUCCGACAACAACACCAGAAGAAGAUAAAACGAUGGGAAGAUCUCCAGCUUCUUCUUGUCUCCGUAUCAUCGCUUGCUCCGGCGGAGACGACGCCGCCUCCGAACCUACGGCUAAUGCUCUAGAGAGCAAGAGCUCUGGUGACAAGCGAGGAUGGAGUUUCAGGAAGAAAUCUGGGAAGCAACGAGGGGUGAUGAUCACUAGCGUUGCUGUCUCUGAGACUAGUCCUGCUUCUAGGAGUAGAGAGACUCUUGAAUCUGCUCUUCUUCUCAAGUCUCCAUCUCCUGACAAUAAUAACAUUGUAGAUGAAAAGCAGACGUUCUCUGUUGUUGAUGAUGAGAAGAAGAAGAAGAGUCAGUUGCCUGUUGUUGCCUAUGUGGCUGAGCCUGUGGAUGUGAACAAAGCAACGGAGGUGGCGGUUCUUGUGGAAUCAAAAGGGACUGAAACUGAGGAGGAUGGGUUAAUUGGAACUGAGUUACAAUCUAAGUUGGAUGGAGCAGAUGCUGAUGAUGCAACUGUGAUAGAGAAGGACACCACUCCACAGGUUGAACAAGAUGAUGUGAUCAUUAUCAGAAAAGAAGUUGAUGAUUCUGUUGUCAUUAUCAUCCAAGCUGCUAUACGUGGAUUCUCGGCGAGAAGAGAACUGUUGAGGCGCAAGAAAGUUGUGAAACUUCAAGCUGCUGUACGUGGCCACCUUGUCAGGAACCAGGCCAUGGGAUCACUGCGUUGCGUCCAAGCUAUUGUCAAAAUGCAAACGAUGGUCCGUGCUCGUCAUUCCGCUAAAGAUGGAAGCCGUGUUUCAGCAAUCUCGGAUAAGGCGGAAACAAAUGCAGCUGCACAAAAGCUUCUCGAGAACAAGUUUGCUAAACAUCUAAUGGAGUCAACUCCCAAGACGAAGCCUAUCAGCAUUAAGUGUGAUCCAACAAAGCCUAGCUCUGCUUGGAGCUGGUUGGAGAGGUGGAUGUCUGUUUCAAAGCCCGAGAAGACUCCAAAGCUAGACUUGGCAUUGGAAGAAACCAACAAUGCCAAGGUAUCAUCUCAAGUUGACUUGGUGAGCUCUGACUCAGCCUUAGAGACCGAAGCUGAAACUGGUUUCUCAAGCAAGGUAGUAGACCAUCAUGUGGAGCUAUCUGAGACUGAGAAAACGAGCCAAUGUGAUUCACCGGAAGCAUCUGCAGAGGUUGAUCAUGACUUGAUGAACCAGUCUCAUCCACUUCCUGCUAAGGAUACCGAAGCUGGAUAUGUGGAUGAAGAGCCUAAACCUUCUUUGAAGCGCAAGGCUAGCAAUCCUUCUUUCGCUGCAGCGAAAUCAAAGUUUGAGGAGCUAACGUCAUCAUCUGCUGGUUCAAAGAAAGCAAUGACGCUCUCUUCUAAAGAUUGUGUUUUAGGCGAAGAAGGCAAGACAGGUAUAGAUUCAUCAGAGGCUAAAAAGGAUCAGACUCUGGAAGAGGUUGCUCCAGCGGAGAACAAUGGAUCUGAGUGUGGAACUGAACUCUCUGUAACUUCUUCUCUCGAUUCACUUGACAAGAAGUCAGACUUUGAGGGUGCAGAGUCCAAGGCUCUGGCUAAGCUUCUAGAAAACGGCACUCCUAAAGCAGACCAAUCAGAGCUGAUUGAAAUUGAUGUGAAUUCUAAAACUCCAUUGGCUACUGUAGAGGACUCUAAGGAUGAAGUUGAGGUUUUAGUGACACAGCAUGAAUCAGUUAUCACUACACCAGAUUCCAAAAAGAGACGUGCAGAAGAUGAAUCAGGUCCUCAAGCAAACUCGUUACCUGAGGAAGCUGUAACUCCCAUGACAAUCACUGAAUCUCAGGCAACGCCGGCGAGUCAAGCAUCUUGUUCGGUAAAUCCAAGAUAGGAAAAAUCCGGCAAGAGUGGUGGUUCAAGCCAAAAGAGGAAAGUUAGCAAGAAAAUAGCAUCAAGUCCCAAACAGGAGACUGAUACUACAACAGAACAAGAAGGGAAAGAACAGAGAAGCGGGAGAAGAAACUCUUUUGGGUAUGAUCAAGAAGCAAGAGAAAGCAGCAGCGGAGGGAAAAACUCUAUUCCGAGGUUCAUGCAGCCAACACAGUCGGCGAAAGCUAAGGUUCAGGAACAUAACUCACCGAGAUCAAGCCCUGAUGUUCAGGAAAGAGAGGUUUCGGUCAAGAAGAGGCAUUCAUUGCCGGUUGUUGCUAAUGUGAAACAAGUAUCUCCUAGAAUCCAACGGUCUGCGUCUCAAGCACAGCCGGGAACAAAGGAUAGAAAAUGGCAGAGAUGAAGCUGACCAAAAGGAAAAUCUUAGGGGGGGAGUUGGGGUAAUUUGCAAUAUUUUGAUGUUUGGUAAUGUUUGUUUUCAGACAAUCCUUAAAACUCUAAUUUUCAGACAACCAAAGUGGACAGAGAAAGAGCCGAGAGUGGAGGGAGGGAGGGAUAGUCUUGUGUAUAGAGAGAGUCAUUUCCGUGUUCUUUCUUUAUUGGAUUAUUUGGUUUGGUUUGGUGUUUGUUUAUUUGUUUGGAGUUUGGACAUAACCUGAUCAGAUAAAAGAGUAUUUUGGUUAUUCCUAUA